rnacentral:misc_RNA from 1 species
AAGUCGUAACAAGGUUUCCGUAGGUGAACCUGCGGAAGGAUCAUUCAUAAUAAAAGUGGUUUUUAUAUGGCACUUUUAAAACAAUCCAUAUCCACCUUGUGUGCAAUGUUUUUUUUUUUUUUUUCAUUAAUCAACACUUUUUAAUUUCUUGUCUGAAAUAUUUUAUGAAUUUACUUAAUUCAAAAAUAUAACUUUCAACAACGGAUCUCUUGGCUCUC